rnacentral:rRNA from 1 species
UAGGGAAUCUUCCGCAAUGGGCGAAAGCUUGACGGAGCAACGCCGCGUGAGUGAUGAAGGUCUUCGGAUCGUAAAACUCUGUUAUUAGGGAAGAACAAAUGUGUAAGUAACUAUGCACGUCUUGACGGUACCUAAUCAGAAAGCCACGGCUAACUACGUGCCAGCAGCCGCGGUAAUACGUAGGUGGCAAGCGUUAUCCGGAAUUAUUGGGCGUAAAGCGCGCGUAGGCGGUUUUUUAAGUCUGAUGUGAAAGCCCACGGCUCAACCGUGGAGGGUCAUUGGAAACUGGAAAACUUGAGUGCAGAAGAGGAAAGUGGAAUUCCAUGUGUAGCGGUGAAAUGCGCAGAGAUAUGGAGGAACUCCAGUGGCGAAGGCGACUUUCUGGUCUGUAACUGACGCUGAUGUGCGAAAGCGUGGGGAUCAAACAGG